CAAUACCCGAUUGAGAAGAUGAAGAGAACUGGAAAGGGCAUUAUCUGAGAAGUCUGGAGAACUUGAACAAACAAGGAAAUAAAAGAAGGUGAAGCAAUUGAUCUUCCUACAGUGAAAUGUUAGGCAUCAUUCCAGAUUUGGGAUUUCCGGAUGGUGACAAGGCAAAACGUGAAAAUCAAGUUGGAAAAGGUGAAAAGUUGUAAAGCAUGUAGCAGCGUCGGGCUUAAGUCGACGAGAUUCGCCACUUCAAAAUUCUCCAAAAACCUCAGAGUUCUGAUUUCUUGUUUCCGGCGACUGCUCCGCCGCCUGCUCUCUUUUCCCGGUAAU